AUGAACGCUGGCGGCGUGCCUAAUACAUGCAAGUCGAGCGAACAGAUGAGGAGCUUGCUCCUCUGACGUUAGCGGCGGACGGGUGAGUAACACGUGGAUAACCUACCUAUAAGACUGGGAUAACUUCGGGAAACCGGAGCUAAUACCGGAUAAUAUAUUGAAUCGCAUGGUUCAAUAGUGAAAGACGGUUUUGCUGUCACUUAUAGAUGGAUCCGCGCCGCAUUAGCUAGUUGGUAAGGUAACGGCUUACCAAGGCAACGAUGCGUAGCCGACCUGAGAGGGUGAUCGGCCCCACUGGAACUGAGACACGGUCCAGACUCCUACGGGAGGCAGCAGUAGGGAAUCUUCCGCAAAGGGCGAAAGCCUGACGGAGCAACGCCGCGUGAGUUAUGAAGGUCUUCGGAUCGUAAAACUCUGUUAUUAGGGAAGAACAAAUGUGUAAGUAACUAUGCACGUCUUGACGGUACCUAAUCAGAAAGCCACGGCUAACUACGUG
rnacentral:rRNA from 1 species